UAUGUCCAAUAUCAGUGGCGGAGGGGUUGACGGAUGUCUAACCCCUCCAAUAAUACAAAUAUUUAUUUGAUAUAUAUAGUCUAUGCCCACCAUUUAAGUUUAAAAAUAUCAUAUCUUCUCUUCUAAUAAAACAGUGUAUUAGUUCUUAGAAAACAAACCCCCCCCCCCCCCCCCCCAAUUGAUUUUCCCGCUCGUAUAAUCUAACUGAAUUGCCCUUCCACUCUUUAUUCUCAGCAAAUACGUUAGUCAAAUCACGUCUCCCCUAAUCACGCCUCCAUCGGCUCCAAAUUCGUCUUCUUGAUUUUGGAAACUAGAUGCCUAUUCAAAUUUAAAAUAUACCUUCUAUUCCUCCAUCAAAUUUUCUCCCGAAAUCAAAGAUAACGUACAAUAUGAAUGCUGCCAAGAUUUUAAACCAUUUAAAGAUUUCACCCUUUCAUAUGCAUCAAUGGGACACAACUACGUAAGAUUAAUUAGACUCUCCCUCUUUCUCAGUUCCACUUUCAUUCUGGGUUGGACGUUGGAAACAAUUAAAAGUUUCCAACUUCUAUGUGGUAAAUCAGCUCCCAAGAAAUCUCAAGCAUUCAUCCAUUCCUAGAAAUCAGCAAUCACCGAGAUUUUUUUGAUGUUGAUUACCAAGAUCGGAAUGAAUUUCAUGAAAAUCCGCUAAUUCCAUCUCCUUAUUCUGUUUGUGCGGGCUUUCUCAUAAUUACUUUCAACUUUCAUUGUCGAAGUAUUCAUUUUUUAUCUUUUUUUUUUAUUCUUCUUGGUUAUUGAAAUCGAUUACUUAAAGUGGGUUUUGUAAGUUUGAAGUUUCUGGAACCCUAAUGCCCUGGUAUAUCUAUUCUCGCAUACGUUCCUUGUGGAUCAAAGAGAUUAAUAGAUUCAAAGUUCAAGAAAUGGAUCUCUACAAAGAUACUUACACCACCAAGGUUAAAAUCAUCCAUAUUUGGAGACAACCAGACUUGAAAAUCCCUUCGGAGACCUUGUCCUUUCGUGUGCAAGUUUAGUUAAAGGGCGUUACACAAGCUAAUGCGGUUCAUUGCUCAUGGGCAGAGUAUUUUGAUAGUUAGUUGAAGAUAAUGAAAGCACACUUUGUACCUCCGUUUCUGGAUUUUUAGGUACCUCAAUUUAAAAUUAUAUUAUUGAUUCUUUUAUAAAAGUACUUCAAUUUUAUUGAGAUGUAAGUGCUUCUCAAGAUUGGUUGAACUAGAACAAUGAUGUUGUUAUGUAACCGAGGAGGUGGAGAUCACAUGAAGGGUAAGUUAGUCAUUUCAUUUGGAUCAGAGACCAAAACAUUUUAAAAAAGAACCAAUGUUGCAUGACAUAAUCUUUUGGGGCUACACCAAGAGCAUCACUAUUUUUGUCAACUUGAAUUACAUAUUAUAAAAAAUCAUCUCAUUCCUUAUAUAUAACAUGAUUUCCUUGCAUUGGACUAUAUGUAGAUCUUGCUAGAGUUUUCAACUUGAAUUACCUGCAACAUAUGAUGGUUCGUUGCUUGCUGUUCUACUGGUAUUAACAUGUGUUUCUAUUAUUGUGUGUUGUAGCUAUUCUUGGGUAUUAUCCUUUUCGUUUGCUGUUGUAAUUUGUUUUUUGGCUGUUAAUAGCAAUGUACUCUAUGAUAGCCUGUUUUGGGUGUUUUAGGAGCUAGGAUGUUGGGUUUCUUUUGUCCUUUUCCUCGUGUAUUCUUGUACACAAUGUAAUGGCAAAGUCAUGUUCAAAAUAAAAAUUGGUCAAUGGCCCUAAAAGAAAAGGAC